ACCUGUAGUUCAGUGGUAGAACGCUCGCUUUGCAUAGAAACUUGCGAGAGGUCCAGGGGUACGAUUCCCUACCAAGGGG
rnacentral:tRNA from 1 species